AGAGUUUGAUCCUGGCUCAGGAUGAACGCUAGCUACAGGCUUAACACAUGCAAGUCGAGGGGCAGCAUGAACUUAGCUUGCUAAGUUUGAUGGCGACCGGCGCACGGGUGAGUAACGCGUAUCCAACCUGCCCUUUACUCCGGGAUAGUCUCCUGAAAGGGAGUUUAAUACCGGAUGUGUUUGUCUUUCCGCAUGGGAGCGACAAAUAAAGAUUGAUUGGUAAAGGAUGGGGAUGCGUCCCAUUAGCUUGUUGGCGGGGUAACGGCCCACCAAGGCGACGAUGGGUAGGGGUUCUGAGAGGAAGGUCCCCCACAUUGGAACUGAGACACGGUCCAAACUCCUACGGGAGGCAGCAGUGAGGAAUAUUGGUCAAUGGGCGGGAGCCUGAACCAGCCAAGUAGCGUGAAGGAUGACGGCCCUACGGGUUGUAAACUUCUUUUAUAAGGGAAUAAAGUUCGCCACGCGUGGUGUUUUGUAUGUACCUUAUGAAUAAGCAUCGGCUAAUUCCGUGCCAGCAGCCGCGGUAAUACGGAAGAUGCGAGCGUUAUCCGGAUUUAUUGGGUUUAAAGGGAGCGUAGGCGGGCUUUUAAGUCAGCGGUCAAAGUUUGCCACGGCUCAACCGUGGCCAGCCGUUGAAACUGCAAGCCUUGAGUCUGCACAGGGCACAUGGAAUUCGUGGUGUAGCGGUGAAAUGCUUAGAUAUCACGAAGAACUCCGAUCGCGAAGGCAUUGUGCCGGGGCAGCACUGACGCUGAGGCUCGAAAGUGCGGGUAUCAAACAGGAUUAGAUACCCUGGUAGUCCGCACGGUAAACGAUGAAUGCUCGCUAUGGGCGAUAUAUUGUCCGUGGCCAAGCGAAAGCGUUAAGCAUUCCACCUGGGGAGUACGCCGGCAACGGUGAAAC
rnacentral:rRNA from 1 species